UGAUGGUACCGUCAAACUAUACAAGUAUUAUUCAUAUAGCACUUCUUUCCAUCUGACAGGAUUUACGACCAAGGCCUUCAUCAUCCACGCGGCGUCGCUGCGUCAGGGUUGCCCCCAUUGCGCAAUAUUCCUC
rnacentral:rRNA from 1 species